rnacentral:rRNA from 1 species
UACGUAGGGGGCAAGCGUUGUUCGGAAUUACUGGGCGUAAAGGGCGCGUAGGCGGCACGGCAAGUCAGGUGUGAAAGCCCUGGGCUCAACCCGGGAACUGCUUUUGAAACUGCCGAGCUAGAGUGCGGAAGGGGCAACUGGAAUUCCCAGUGUAGCGGUGAAAUGCGUAGAUAUUGGGAAGAACACCUGAGGCGAAGGCGGGUUGCUGGGCCGACACUGACGCUGAGGCGCGAAAGCCAGGGGAGCGAACGGG